UCUCAAAACAGUCCUUUCCACCAUUGAAUCUUUCCAUUUUGAAGCAUUUCCCAUCUCAUCUUCUACGAGGAAAAAAAUAGAGAAUUACAAACAAAUUAAAUCUUACCAGGAACACACUGCUCAUGAGAUAGAAUUUCUAAUUUGCUAUCCAGACAAACUCUGAGCAAUUAAUAUGCAAACCAAUCUCAAUUAGCCGAAAAAU
rnacentral:lncRNA from 1 species